rnacentral:sRNA from 1 species
GCUGAAUAUAACUUUGAUGCCGUUCGGUGAUAACUC